rnacentral:rRNA from 1 species
UGCAGUCGAGCGGAGGAAUGGAUCUUGCUCCCGGAUGUUCGCCGCAGACGGGAGAAUAACUUAUGAAUCUCCUGCCUGUAGGACUGCAAUAUCUCCAGAAAAACGCUACUACCACCUACUACCUACUUGAAACACCUGGUUAUCGGAUGAGACAUUGCUUCAGCUGUCGCUUACAAAUGGACCCACCUCGCUUUAGCUAUUUGGUGCUGUAAUGGCUCACCUCUGCAACGAUUCUUAGACGACCUGACAGCGUGAUCGGACACACUGGGACUGAAAACCCCCCCAGACUCCUACGGGGGGCAAUAUUAGGGAAUCUUCCGCACUGUACUAAAGUCUGACCGAGCGUCUCCACNUGAGUGAUGAAGGUUUUCGCAUCUUAAAGCUCUGUUGGGAUGUAAUAACAAAUGCCAGAGUAGCUGCUCCCUCCUUGACAGAACCUACCCCGAAAGCCUCGGCUAACUACGUGCCAGCAGCCGCGGUAAUACGUACGUGGCUCGCGUUUUCUGGAAUUAUUGGGCGUAAAGGGCUCGUUUGGCGGUUUUCUUAAGUCUGAUGUGAAAGCCCCCGGCUCAAACCGGGGAAGGGUCCAUUGGAAAACUGGGAAACUUGAGUGCUGAAGAGGAGAGUGGAAUUCCCCGUGUAGCGGUGAAAUGCGUAGAGAUGUGGAGGAACACCAGUGGCCAAGGCGACUCUCUGGUCUGUAACUGACGCUGAGGAGCGAAAGCGUGGGGAGCGAACAGGAUUAGAUACCCUGGGUAGUUCACGCCGUAAACGAUGACUGCUAAGUGUUAGGGGGUUUCCGCCCCUUAGUGGUGCAGCUAACGCAUUAAGCACUCCGCCUGGGGAGUACGGUCGCAAGACUGAAACUCAAAGGAAUUGACGGGGGGCCCGCACAAGCGGUGGAGCAUGUGGUUUAAUUCGAAGCAACGCGAAGAACCUUACCAGGUCUUGACAUCCUAUGACAACCCCAGAGAUAGGGCUUUCCCUUCGGGGACAGACUGACAGGUGGUGCAUGGUUGUCGUCAGCUCGUGUCGUGAGAUGUUGGGUUAAGUCCCGCAACGAGCGCAACCCUUUAUUUUAUUUGCCAGCAUUUAGGUGGGCAAUUUAAGGGGAACGCCCGGGGCCAACCGGAGGAAGGUGGGGGAGGAGUCCAAUUCUCCUUCCCCUUAUGACCCGGGGUUCCCCCCUGGUUCAAAUGGCAGAACAAAAGGGUUCAAGACCGCAAGGUUUAGCCNAUUCCAUAAAUCUGUUUUCUAUUCGGGUUGCAGUUUGCAAAUUGGAUGCCUGAAAGUGGGAUUCGUUGUUAUUGGGGAUUAAGAAGCCGGGGUGAAUUCGUUUCCCGGCCUUGGUCCCCCCCCCCGUCCCCCCCAGGGAAUUUGCAACACCCGGAGUUAGGGAGGUAACUUAUGGAGGCAGC